rnacentral:rRNA from 1 species
GACGUAGGGGGCCAGCGUUGCUCGGAAUUACUGGGUGUAAAGGGUUCGUAGGCGGUGUGGCAAGUCGGGAGUGAAAUCUCUGGGCUCAACCCAGAGUCUGCUUCCGAAACUGCUGUGCUUGAGUGUGGGAGAGGCGCGUGGAAUUGCAGGUGUAGCGGUGAAAUGCGUAGAUAUCGUAAGGAACGCCCGUGGCGAAGGCGGCAUCCUGGACCAAUUCUGACGCUGAGGAGCGAAAGCCAGGGGAGCAAACGGG